GGCUGGUCCGAUGGAAGUGGGUUAUCAGAACUUAUUAACAUUAGUGUCACUAAAGUUGGUAUUCAACCCCUCCACUGCUAAAUUUGACUGGCUUUUU
ensembl:misc_RNA Y_RNA Y RNA